AAAUUGAAGAGUUUGAUCAUGGCUCAGAUUGAACGCUGGCGGCAGGCCUAACACAUGCAAGUCGAACGGUAGCACAGAGAGCUUGCUCUC
rnacentral:rRNA from 9 species